rnacentral:rRNA from 1 species
CUGCAGCUCAAGUGGUGAUCAUUAUUAUUGGGCCUAAAACGUCCGUAGCCGGUUUAGUAAAUGCCUGGGUAAAUCGUGUAGCUUAACUAUACGACUUCCGGGUAGACUGCUAAACUUGAGACCGGGAGAGGCUAGAGGUACUCCUGGGGUAGAGGUGAAAUUCUGUAAUCCUAGAGGGACCACCAGUGGCGAAGGCGUCUAGCUAGAACGGGUCUGACGGUGAGGGACGAAGCCCUGGGGCACAAACCGGAUUAGAUACCCGAGUAGUCC